GCGGGCGUGGCGGAACUGGCAGACGCACCAGACUUAGGAUCUGGCGGAUUUUCCAUGCAGGUUCAAUUCCUGUCGCCCGCACCA
rnacentral:tRNA from 1 species